rnacentral:rRNA from 1 species
GAUAAACGCUGGCGGCGUGCCUAACACAUGCAAGUCGAACGCGCUUUCUCGCAUGCUUCGUUAAGAAGCGAGCAAGAGAGCGAGUGGCGGACGGGUGAGUAACACAUGGGUCACCUACCUUUCAGUGAGGAAUACCGACGAGAAAUCGUCGACAAGACCGCAUAUGCUCUUUGCAAAGAGAGCAAAGUCCUUUCGCAAGAAGGGACGCUGGAAGAUGGGCCUGUGGCCGAUUAGCUAGUUGGUAGGGUAAUGGCCUACCAAGGCGACGAUCGGUAGCUGGUCUGAGAGGACGAUCAGCCACACUGGGAUUGAGAACGGCCCAGACUCCUACGGGA